rnacentral:rRNA from 1 species
AGCUCCAAUAGCGUAUAUUAAAGUUGUUGCAGUUAAAAAGCUCGUAGUUGGAUUUCAGGGCUCGCGCGCUGGUCACCCUGCGGGGUCGCACCGGUGUCGGGGUUCUUUUGUCGUUCGUGCAUUGUCGCACUUUAGUGUGUGGCGAUGUGUGGUCGACCGUUUACUUUGAGCAAAUUAGAGUGUUCAAGGCAGGCUUUUGGCUUGAAUACCCUAGCAUGGAAUAAUGAGAUAGGACUUUGGUUCUAUUUUGUUGGUUCAUGGGACUAAAGUAAUGAUUAAGAGGAACGGUUGGGGGCAUUAGUAUUUCGUUGUCAGAGGUGAAAUUCUUGGAUUUACGAAAGACUAACCUAGGCGAAAGCAUUUGCCAUGGACGUUUUCAUUAAUCAAGAACGAAAGUACG